UACGUAGGGCGCAAGCGUUGUCCGGAAUUAUUGGGCGUAAAGAGCUCGUAGGCGGCCUGUUGCGUCCGCUGUGAAAUCCCGGGGCUUAACCCCGGGCGUGCAGUGGAUACGGGCAGGCUGGAGGCAGGCAGGGGAGAACGGAAUUCCCGGUGUAGCGGUGAAAUGCGCAGAUAUCGGGAGGAACACCGGUGGCGAAGGCGGUUCUCUGGGCCUGUACUGACGCUGAGACGCGAAAGCGUGGGGAGCAAACAGG
rnacentral:rRNA from 1 species